rnacentral:lncRNA from 1 species
UCGUCGCGAAGUACAGGCCAGCGAUGCCAGUCUUGAACUGCGUGGUUCCAGAGCUGAAGACCGACAAUGAUUUCGACUGGACUUGCAGCGACGAGGCUCCUGCAAGGCAGAGUCAAAUUGUUAGGGGCCUGAUCCCAAUGUUGAGUGCCGCUACCGCAAAGGCUUCUGAUACUGAGGCCACCGAGGAGGCCGUCAGUUUUGCCCUGGAUUAUGCCAAGAAGCUCGGCCUCUGCAAGUCGGGAGAUUCAGUUGUUGCGGUGCAUCGUCUCAGCGCAUCAUCCCUCGUCAGGAUCUUGACAGUGGAUUAGGGUCAGGUGAUGUUGGCUCAUGGGGGCAAAUUUUGUUAGGUUGUUAUCGGAUCAUCGCUAUCAUUUUGUUGGCUCAUCCCACGUCGUGAGUCCUAUAUUACGUCUUGUGUUCAGCUACGCAUAGUAAAGAGUUGGUGUCGCCCAUUCUGAAUAUCUUGCUAAAUAAUACAUACUCGCUACUCAAUAUAUAUGCCACUUCAUGCUCAGUGUGUUUGGCUGUCUAAGUUUUAUACAAAGAUCAUGCGUUGUGGUACACAUGCAGUGUGAGCAGCUGAGCAGGUUCCUUUAGGAAUGGGUCGGUUCCGUUUCUAUGUUUGGUUAUGAGUAUUAGAUAGAAUGGAACGGUUCCGUUCUGGUGUUUGGUUGGUGAGUUGGAAUGGUAUGAUUUUCAGCAACAGGAUGAAUAAUAUUAACUCUUUGUAUUUUCAGCAGCAGAGUAUUCAAGUUCUAAGAAAUAUUUGAAUUGUAUUUACAACACCAACAAUUUAUAAAUAUACUCAAGCAUAUAUCAAACUUAAAUUCACACUAUUUUUAACAAGUCACAUAUAUAGGUAAAAAAUCAUUACCCAGCAAUUCAACAUACACAUCAAGCAAAAAUCAUGAAAAAUUAGAUGCUGCUGCUAUACUAAUUAAUCCAACAUACGCACCAAGCAAUUCCUGUACUGCCGCUAUACUCGUCUCUAUCGAUGCUGCUCUUUGUUGCUGCUGCUCCGCUGCCUACUAGCCACUUCUUGCCCAGGCUCUGCUACUCUACUCCACGUCCGCCACCGCCGAAGGCAGCCAGGGAAUCGAUCCGCCGCAAGCCGCCGCUGCUGAGGAGCGCCACCAGAAAUCCAUCUGUCGCAAGCUAGGGAAUCAACCCGCAACAAUGAGACGAGGGAUGAGCCUGGGAUGCCAGAUCAGGGACCGAAGGUGGAGCAGCGCUGCAGAUCGAGAGAGGAGGAGUUGGCCGGCAGUGAGGUAAGGAAUCGGUGCAGGGCGGGGUGGGGCGGUUGCGGCGCAGAUCGAGGGAGUGGGAGACGAGGGGGAGGCGGCGCACCAGGGAGGAGAGGCGAUAGGACUGGGAGUGCGAGGAGAAAGCCGGUUCCGCGUCAUCCGCUCGUUUUGGAGGUCUCACCCGGUUCCGCAUCUGGGGCGAAUAUUCGACCCGUGGGAACGAGGUGGUGAUACUCCAUCUGUCAACUGAACACGAGAACCAG